rnacentral:rRNA from 1 species
UACGGAGGAUGCAAGCGUUAUCCGGAAUUAUUGGGCGUAAAGCGUCCGCAGGUGGUUUAUCAAGUCUGCUGUCAAAGCGCGAGGCUUAACUUCGUAAAGGCAGUGGAAACUGAUAGACUGGAGUGCGGUAGGGGCAGAGGGAAUUCCCAGUGUAGCGGUGAAAUGCGUAGAUAUUGGGAAGAACACCGGUGGCGAAGGCGGUUCUCUGGGACGGUACUGACGCUGAGACGCGAAAGCGUGGGGAGCGAACAGG